GGGUUUAUACCAUGGCAAAAAUUUGGCCCGUCGCUGUUACACGGUAAAGCCACAAAUUUUGCCCUUAGCUGCUACCGGGUUAAUUUAUACAUUGUACCUCAUUGAAUACAGGCAUUGGGGAGGCUUGGACAGAGAGUGGAGGCUGCAGGUGUUAGGUGCUGCAGAGGAAGGUGAUGGGAGAGACUCUAGUGGAACAGUUUAGGCUCAGAAACACUAGAUAGAUAGAAAAUUACAUCUUUUAAUACCCCAAAACCAUCACACCCACACACAUAACGACAUUCCACUAAACUUAUUAUCAAAACCAUUACUUAUAUCAGUCAGGUAGCAUGAUAUCAAGGCUCGGUGGGUACUGUUAAGCUCAAAAUAUCCUCGUGUAAGCCUUAUUUUCAGGAGCUUUGGUGUCAUGAGUGCUGUGAGGGGUGAGUGAGCUUCUUCAGGUGCGGCCAGACUGUGAGGUGGUGUCAGGUUGGAGGUGCCGGGUCAACGCUCACUCAAGGCUGAAGAAGAUGUGGAGGCGGUGUGUUGUGGAGGAAGAAGACAUGGAGACAGUGUGUUGUGGAGGAAUAAGACAUGGAGACAGUUGAGGAUGUGGCAGAAGUGGGCAAGGGACGGAAGCAGUUGAAAAAGAGUAUCGUCAAUCGUCUAUCCUCAAGAGAUCGCAAGAUAACCAGACAUCACACAAGAUGAUAAUGCUGGAAGACUCGGACCACCAGCAACCAUGGACAGCCGACACAAGCCUCUAUGGACACUGAACGGGCAACCACCACCACCGCCAGACACCAUGAGGCAGGCUGGCGGGGAGUGGCAACCUAUUCACCACGGCAACCAAAUCUCACAGACUUGUCGCUUAAAGUAAAUAUAGUGAAAUAAUAGUGUGUGUCAUUAACCGCUGCCUUCCUUUCUGUCCUUGCAAGAAUACACUCGGCCCUCGAUUUAACCGAUUAAAAGGGGGGAAGGGUGGACCGUUGCUUGAAAAUACUUACAUACGAUAAAUAUCAAUGUAAAAUAAAAUUACUGUUAAAAAAAACGUCAAAUGUUACCGACAAACCUCAUAAUAAACAUAGGUAUACUGUCAUGUUCUGCCUCUUCCUUCCUCUCUAUCCUAUCCUGUGUUGUUUUCUAUCUGCUUCCUCUCUAUCCUAUCCUAUCCUGUCCUGUGUCAUUUUCUAUCUCCUUCCUCUCUAUCCUAUCCUGUGUUGUUUUCUAUCUGCUUCCUCUCUAUCCUAUCCUAUCCUGUCCUGUGUCAUUUUCUAUCUCCUUCCUCUCUAUCCUAUCCUGUGUUGUUUUCUAUCUCCUUCCUCUCUAUCCUCGAAAUAAUACUGUCAAUUUCUGCCUCCUUCUGUCCUGUCCUCUCUCUAUCCGGCCUCAACCAAAAUGAAAGCAAUGGAUAGGAACGGACUUG